AACGUAGGAGACAAACGUUAUCCGGAAUUACUGGGCGUAAAGAGCUCGUAGGUGGUUUGUCGCGUUGUCCGUGAAAACUCACAACUCAAUUGUGGGCGUGCGGGCGAUACGGGCAGACUGGAGUACUGCAGGGGAGACUGGAAUUCCUGGUGUAGCGGUGAAAUGCGCAGAUAUCAGGAGGAACACCGGUGGCGAAGGCGGGUCUCUGGGCCGAUACUGACGCUGAGGAGCGAAAGCGUGGGGAGCGAACAGG
rnacentral:rRNA from 1 species